GCUGGGUGUGGUGGUGCACACCUGUAGUCCCAGCUACUUGGGAGGCUGAGGUGGGAGGAUCGCUUGAGCUCAGGAGGUUGAGGCUGCAGUGAGCUGUGAUUGAGCCACUGCACUCCAGCCUUGGUGACAGAGCAAGACCCUGUCUCAA
ensembl:misc_RNA Metazoa_SRP Metazoan signal recognition particle RNA